rnacentral:rRNA from 1 species
GACGAAUGUUGGCGUCGUGCCUAAUACAUGAAAGUCGAGCGCUUUUUUCCUCCCGUGUGCUUGUGCUCGAUUGGCCAAAGUGCUGUUGUACGGGUGAGUCACACGUGGGUAACCUACUCAUCCUAGGUGGAUAACAGUUGGAAACAGGUGCUAAUACCGCAUACCAGUUUAUGCCGCUUGGUAUAAGCGUGCACGGCGCCAUCGGGUGAUGCUGAUGGAUGGAGCCGCGGUGCAUUAGCUAGUUGGUGAGGUAACGGCUCUCCAUGGUCACUAUGCAUAGCCGACCUGAGAGGGGGAGCGACCACACGGGGACGGAGACGCGGCGCAGACUACUACGGGAGGCAGCAGUAGGGAAUCUUCGGCAAUGGACGAAAGUCUGACCGAGCAACGCCGCGUGAGUGAAGAAGGUUUUCGGAUCGUAAAACUCUGUUGUUAGAGAAGAACAAGGACGUUAGUAACUGAACGUCGUCUGACGGUAUCUAACCAGAAAGCCACGGCUAACUACGUG